CCUACGGGUGGCAGCAGUGAGGAAUAUUGGUCAAUGGGAGGAAUCCUGAACCAGCCAUGCCGCGUGCAGGACGACGGCUCUACGAGUUGUAAACUGCUUUUGUACCGGGGUAAAAUGCCUUACGUGUAGGGUUUUGAAAGUACGGUACGAAUAAGGAUCGGCUAACUCCGUGCCAGCAGUCGCGGUAAUACGGAGGAUCCGAGCGUUAUCCGGAUUUAUUGGGUUUAAAGGGUGCGUAGGUUGUUUUAUAAGUUAGCGGUGAAAUACCGAUGCUCAACAUCGAGGCUGCCGCUAAUACUGGAGGACUAGAGAUCAGAUGCGGCAGGCGGAAUGUGUGGUGUAGCGGUGAAAUGCAUAGAUAUUACACAGAACACCGAUUGCGAAGGCAGCUUGCUAGGCCGGAUCUGACGCUGAUGCACGAAAGCGUGGGGAUCGAACAGGAUUAGAUACCCUAGUAGUC
rnacentral:rRNA from 1 species